UGGGGAAUAUUGGACAAUGGGCGCAAGCCUGAUCCAGCCAUGCCGCGUGAGUGAUGAAGGCCUUAGGGUUGUAAAGCUCUUUUAGUGGGGAAGAUAAUGACGGUACCCACAGAAAAAGCCCCGGCUAACUUCGUGCCAGCAGCCGCGGUAAUACGAAGGGGGCUAGCGUUGUUCGGAUUUACUGGGCGUAAAGCGCACGUAGGCGGAUCGUUAAGUCGGGGGUGAAAUCCUGGAGCUCAACUCCAGAACUGCCUUCGAUACUGGCGAUCUCGAGUCCGGAAGAGGUGAGUGGAACUCCUAGUGUAGAGGUGGAAUUCGUAGAUAUUAGGAAGAACACCAGUGGCGAAGGCGGCUCACUGGUCCGGUACUGACGCUGAGGUGCGAAAGCGUGGGGAGCAAACA
rnacentral:rRNA from 1 species